CUUUACUAUAGCUUUGCACUGGCAUUAGAAAUUAGAUGUGCAGGAUAGGUGGGAGACUUUGAAGUGGUGGCGCUAGCUGCCAUGGAGUCGCCGUUGAGAUACCACCCUUCUGAUUUUUGAUGUCUAACUGAGAUCAGUGAAUCCUGGUCCAGGACCAUGCAUGGUGGGUAGUUUGACUGGGGCGGUCGCCUCCCAAAAAGUAACGGAGGCGCGCGAUGGUUAGCUCAGGUUGGUCGGAAAUCAACUGUUAGAGUGCAAUGGCAUAAGCUAGCCUGACUGCGAGUCUGACAAGACGAGCAGAGACGAAAGUCGGUCAUAGUGAUCCGGUGGUCCCGUGUGGAAGGGCCAUCGCUCAACGAAUAAAAGGUA
rnacentral:rRNA from 1 species